UAAAAGAUAAGCUAAAUAAAGCUUACGGGUUCAUACCCCGUCUAUGAGGCGAUAACCUCUCUUUUAA
rnacentral:tRNA from 2 species